UUUUGCAUUUCUAACGCGCAUUCCUCCUUCUAAAGAGGAAAGUGAUAAGUUAAAGCAAGUUCUCAAGUACCAUUGUAGCAAGCUAAUUCCCUUUUUCCACAUGCGAUUCAGAGAGAAAGGUCAAGUCGGCUGUCACUUCUCUCUAACUGACGCUCAGAGUCUGUGUGCACAGAGCAUGAUGUAUAUAAAAGAAGCCAAGCACUCGGCCAUUUUCUGCGUCAACUGCAUUCAUCGCAAACCCUCCAUCUUGAGCCGAAAUGAAAGAUUAGGUACAGAUGAGUUUGUAAACAGCAAGUGUGCAGAGAAGUUCUUUCUGCUCAAAACCAAACACCUCUUCCUCCAACAUUCUGAAAUAGAUGUUUUUACCUCAAAAUGACUCAUAUUCAUAUGAAGAGUUGGCUGAAAUUUAAGAAGUCAGUCUUCAGUCAUUUUGUACUAAGAAAACAAUACAGUCAUGGAGAAGCUAUGAUUUUUACAAACAGAGAUAGAUCAUUCAUAACAUUUUGCAUGUAUGUAUCUUACAAGCAAGCUGGGCACACAGAUUUCUUGAGGACAGCAAACAUGAACGGGGCCGGUGCCACCCACUCUUUGAAUAUCACUGGGUGAGUUUCCUGGAAGAAACAAGCCCCUCUGAGACGCUGAAGGCAGCACUGCGUGACCAAGAAGGCAGAAAAGAAGAAACAGGAGAAGGGCACUUUCUCCUUUCUAAAGUC